rnacentral:rRNA from 1 species
UACGUAGGGGGCAAGCGUUGUCCGGAUUUAUUGGGCGUAAAGAGCUCGUAGGCGGUUUGUUGCGUCGGCUGUGAAAUCCCGAGGCUCAACCUCGGGUCUGCAGUCGAUACGAGCAAACUAGAGUGUUGCAGGGGAGACUGGAAUUCCUGGUGUAGCGGUGAAAUGCGCAGAUAUCAGGAGGAACACCGAUGGCGAAGGCAGCUCGCUGGGACGGUACUGACGCUGAGACGCGAAAGCGUGGGGAGCAAACAGG